rnacentral:rRNA from 1 species
UACGAAGGGGGCUAGCGUUGCUCGGAAUCACUGGGCGUAAAGCGCACGUAGGCGGCUUUCUAAGUCAGGGGUGAAAUCCUGGAGCUCAACUCCAGAACUGCCUUUGAUACUGGAGAGCUUGAGUCCGGAAGAGGUGAGUGGAACUCCGAGUGUAGAGGUGAAAUUCGUAGAUAUUCGGAAGAACACCAGUGGCGAAGGCGGCUCACUGGUCCGGUACUGACGCUGAGGUGCGGAAAGCGUGGGGAGCAAACAGGG